rnacentral:rRNA from 1 species
AGCGAACGCUGGCGGCAGGCCUAACACAUGCAAGUCGAACGAAGUCUUCGGACUUAGUGGCGGACGGGUGAGUAACACGUGGGAACGUGCCUUUAGGUUCGGAAUAACUCAGGGAAACUUGUGCUAAUACCGAAUGUGCCCUUCGGGGGAAAGAUUUAUCGCCUUUAGAGCGGCCCGCGUCUGAUAGCUAGUUGGGGGGGUUAUGGCCCACCAAGGCUACGAUCAGUAGCUGGUCUGAGAGGAUGACCAGCCACAUUGGGAACUGAAACACGGCCCAAACUCCUACGGGAGGCAGCAGUGGGGAAUCUUGCGCAAUGGGCGAAAGCCUGACGCAGCCAUGCCGCGUGGAUGAUGAAGGUCUUAGGAUUGUAAAAUCCUUUCACCGGUGAAGAUAAUGACUGUAGCCGGAGAAGAAGCCCCGGCUAACUUCGUGCCAGCAGCCGCGGUAAUAC